AUUGAACGCUGGCGGCAGGCCUAACACAUGCAAGUCGAACGGUAACAUUUCUAGCUUGCUAGAAGAUGACGAGUGGCGGACGGGUGAGUAAUGCUUGGGAACUUGCCUUUGCGAGGGGGAUAACAGUUGGAAACGACUGCUAAUACCGCAUAAUGUCUUCGGACCAAACGGGGCUUAGGCUCCGGCGCAAAGAGAGGCCCAAGUGAGAUUAGCUAGUUGGUAAGGUAACGGCUUACCAAGGCGACGAUCUCUAGCUGUUCUGAGAGGAAGAUCAGCCACACUGGGACUGAGACACGGCCCAGACUCCUACGGGAGGCAGCAGUGGGGAAUAUUGCACAAUGGGGGAAACCCUGAUGCAGCCAUGCCGCGUGUGUGAAGAAGGCCUUCGGGUUGUAAAGCACUUUCAGUUUGUGAGGAAAAGUUAGUAGUUAAUACCUGCUAGCCGUGACGUUAACAACAGAAGAAGCACC
rnacentral:rRNA from 1 species